AAGGCGGCAGUUGGAGGGAGCAGUUGGUGCCGCAGCAGCUGGAGUGAGGCAAGGCACAGAGACUGGGGGAGUGAAGGUGUCCGGUGCAAGUGUCUAUGGGACCGGAUUGAUCGCCACUGGUCGGAGGUGGCAGCGGCGUGGUGACGGAGGUUGGUGAACCGACCCGAGGUCCUCCGGAGGCAAGCAGGUGACAGGCAGCGAGGAGUGAGUGAGGGCUGGCGACAGGAGAGAGGCAGCGCUAUGCAGUGAUGCUGCAGGGAUCGGAAUGGUGAACCUUUAUUCCCUGGGAUCGCUGUAGUUUCCUGAAAACAAACACCAGUGUAUGUUACCCACAGUGCGCAGGGGCGAUUGUUGGCACCCACAUCCCCAUAAUUGCUCCCACAGACAGUCCAGUGGACUACCAUAAAUGAAAGGGAUGGCAUUCCAUUAAUCUACAAGCAGUCAUUGACCAUAGAUACCGAUGGUUGACCCAGCUCAUGAAGACUGGGUUUUUACCUCCACUUUUCUUACUAUUUCUGGCAAAAGAUCAUGAAUGGACAGGGAUCCAUGUCCUGGUUAAAACUUUUGACUUCAGUGGGUAUUCUCCAGGGUCUUAAAAAGUAGUGGCCCAACAAUACUAAAUAGGUGGAGUCCAUGAAAAAACAACAACAACAACAACAACAACAACAACUUUGCUUAAGGUACCUUUAGCUUAGGACUGAGAGUGUCCAGUUUUUACCAAUAGCCUCCAC